CCUACGGGUGGCAGCAGUGAGGAAUAUUGGUCAAUGGGAGAGAUCCUGAACCAGCCAAGCCGCGUGAGGGAAGACGGCCCUAUGGGUUGUAAACCUCUUUUGUCGGAGAACAAAACCCGGGACGUGUCCCGGACUGCGUGUAUCCGAAGAAAAAGCAUCGGCUAACUCCGUGCCAGCAGCCGCGGUAAUACGGAGGAUGCGAGCGUUAUCCGGUUUUAUUGGGUUAAAAGGGUGGGUAGGCGGUCCGUUAAGUCAGCGGUAAAAUUUCGGGGCUCAACCCCGUCGAGCCGUUGAAACUGGCAGACUUGAGUGGGCGAGAGGUACGCGGAAUGCGCGGUGUAGCGGUGAAAUGCAUAGAUAUCACGCAGAACCCCGAUUGCGAAGGCAGCAUACCGGUGCACAACUGACGCUCAGGCACGAAAGCGUGGGUAUCGAACAGGAUUAGAUACCCCUGUAGUC
rnacentral:rRNA from 1 species